GUUGAGCUAAGUCACGCUAGCUUGUAACUCAAGUGAGGGCACCAAGGUGGUAGGACAAUGGUUUGACUCAUCGGGCAGGGUCUGUUGUUGCAACUGAUUGGCUCGCCCGAUCCAAGUUGUGAGUUGGGCCAUGUGGCUUGGAGUCACGAUUGCAUCAGGCUAGGUUCACAUAGCAGCGAAAGCCUCCUGCUCUCAACAAUGGAAGGAUUAUGGGUUGGUGCACAAUUGGUCUAGAUUGCCUCAUUGGUUGAUACCGGUUGAACAAUCUUUUUU
rnacentral:SRP_RNA from 1 species